GACCGCUCAGGUGGCCUAAUGGUUAGAGCGUUCGCCUAGGACGCGAGAGGUCAUGGAUUCGAACCCCGACUGAGUCU